rnacentral:rRNA from 1 species
GACGUAGGGCGCGAGCGUUGUCCGGAUUUAUUGGGCGUAAAGAGCUCGUAGGCGGUUUGUCGCGUCUGCCGUGAAAGUCCGGGGCUCAACUCCGGAUCUGCGGUGGGUACGGGCAGACUAGAGUGAUGUAGGGGAGACUGGAAUUCCUGGUGUAGCGGUGAAAUGCGCAGAUAUCAGGAGGAACACCGGUGGCGAAGGCGGUUCUCUGGGCAUUACCUGACGCUGAGGAGCGAAAGUGUGGGGAGCGAACAGG